UCUUCCACCUUCUGGAGAUGUAAGAUAUAAGAAGCAUUAAAAAUGUGGAGAAAAGAGACUUAUUUGUUUCCCUUUGCUAAGGUUUAACAAAGAUAUUGCCCAGAAAUUCCCAAGCAUCUGGCUAGGAUAGUCUUUAAGGGGAAGGAUUUCACCUGCUAACAUGCUCUCUGCAAUCUUAUACCCACCUAUUUGCUUGUUCUACAUGGACUUUAACCAAUCAGCAUUCCUUGGUCCUAGGGAUCAUGUUGGUACUUACAGAAGGAAUGACCCUACAGGGUCACUUACUGGCAGAAAGAACCCCUUUUCCAAAGUUCUGGACUAUUACAGGAGCAACUGGAAAGUUAAGUAAAAAACUUUUUCUCUUUUCUUUAGGUUCAGAUUACGUGGGCGGCCUUUCAUCCAAUGUUUACUGAAGGGAGAUAAAGUUGAAUGGAGUAACCUUCCAACUUGUCAAGCAAUACCUUGUCUUCCACCUCCUGAUAUCACCCAUGGAUCCCAUACUGGUCAGAGUGAACAAGAGUUUUCCUUUGGCUCAGCGGUAACUUACAAAUGUGACCAGGGCUUCUCUCUUAUUGGAGAGGCCUCCAUUCAUUGUACAACAAAAGAUCAUGUCAACGGAGAGUGGAGUGGGCCUGCCCCUGAAUGCAAAG